GGAAGGAUCAUUAAAGUCAGGCUUUUGAGAGGGCUUGAUUGUGGCACAUAGGCUUAGUGCUGCGGUUCCCCUGUGGUGGGGGUCCUGCAGUGCGACAUCGGACAAUGGACAUGUGGUGCUGCGGUUCCCCUGUGGUGGGGGAUACCGCAGCGGGGGGGAAUGUUGCACCCCAAAGAUUUAGCCCGCCGCAUACGGUACGACUAUGCUUGCUGUUGCGGUAAGGGCGGUCUUUGAAGGCUGGGAAAAAAAAGUGACAAAAAUCGCGGCCCCUAAAAUCUCAGCCCCGCGUACUUGGCUUUGUGAGCAUAGUAAUUGUCCUUAUCUACAACCGUCAACGAUGAAUGACUCGGCUAUCACGUCGAUGAAGAGCGUAGCGAAGUGCGAAAAUUAGUGCGAUCUGUAGCUGCGUGACGCAUCGAGUUCUUGAACGCAUUGUGCCUUGGGACGCGAGUCUCAAGGUGUGUCUGGUUGGGUGUCCGUACGAUAUAAACCCCCGCCGCAAUAGCGGUGCUUCAAUGGGGCAAAGUUAUGGAGUCGGCGGUAUCGCCGAACUUCAUUAAGGCUCAAGUAGCUGUACUCUCUUGUCAGUAGUCGUAUGCGCGCAGCAAAGCAGUAACGACGAAACUUGAGGGCGGCGAAAGACCCUCGGGAAAGGGCGGCGGUCGAUCCUGGCAGCGGGAUCGAUCGUCGGCGGUCGAUCCUGGCAGCGGGAUCGAUCGUCGGCACCGUCAAGUACCGAAGAGUUAAUUCUCUAACAUCGAUGUAUCGGACCUCAGCUCAGGCAUGACCACCCGCUAAACUUAAGCAUAUUAGUAAGCGGAGGAAAAGAAACCAAAGGGGAUCCUCUUAGUAACUGCGAGUGAAGAGGGGAGAGUCCAGGCUGAAUCCAAUGUCCGUUAGGGCGGCGGAGUUGUGGCCUUUGAUCUGCGGAGGAAGCUGCGUAAGGAAGGCGAAGUUCCCUGGAAUGGGACGCUAUAGAGGGUGAGAGCCCCGUAGUCUUUCGAGUGCGGUGAACGAAGCGGAUUUAGAGUCAGGCUGCUUGGGAACGUAGCCUAAAGUGCGAGGUGUGACCCUCGUAAGACUAAAUACCGGGUGAUAGACCGAUAGCAAACAAGUACCGCGAGGGAAAGUUGCAAAGCACUCUGAAGAGAGAGUCAAAAGUACCUGAAGUCGUUGACGGGGAAGCGGUUGAAUGAGCUAGAAAGGUGCCGUAGUUCACCCUUAGUGCGCUGGGGCAGUGCCGAUGGAAAGACCUGCAGCGGGUCUGAAGUCGGUACUUAAAAGGCGGCUAGGGGGCAUUCUAUGGUGCCUACUCGGCACAUACCUUCUUAUCUAGGGAAGAAGGUUCGGACGGUAGUUGCAUAAGCGGCGAUAUACGGACUUUGAUAUGGGUGAGAUAGUAGGGAUAAAACCGGUGCUGUAAGGCUGGGGCAUGGGUUCGGUACGGUUGCAAAGCCGCUGAUGACAGCUUGCUGUUGUUGGUGAGCCUAGUGGCCUGCCGGGCCUUGUCACAAUGCCGGUUAGUGGCUGGGGUACGGCGAAUUUAGCUGUCCCGUCUUGAAACACGGACCAAGGAGUUUAACAUUUGUGCGAGUCUACGAGUCGGCAAACUUCGAAGGCGAAGUGAAAGCGAAAAGGGCGAGGCGGAGUCUGCGGACGAAGCUGCAGCCUUCAUGUACCUUAAGCUACGGCAAAAGGUUUCAGUGGUAGCAUGUCUGUUAAGACCCGAAAGAUAGCGAACUAUACCCGCUUAGGAUGAAGCCAGGCGAAAGCCUGGUGGAGGUCCGUAGCGGUACUGACGUGCAAAUCGUUCGUCAAAAGUGGGCAUAGCGGCGAAAGACUAAUCGAGCUAUCUAGUAGCUGGUUCCACU
rnacentral:misc_RNA from 1 species